UACAGAGGUCUCAAGCGUUGUUCGGAUUCAUUGGGCGUAAAGGGUGCGUAGGUGGCGCCGUAAGUCGGGUGUGAAAUUUCGGAGCUUAACUCCGAAACUGCAUUCGAUACUGCGGUGCUUGAGGACUGGAGAGGAGACUGGAAUUCAUGGUGUAGCAGUGAAAUGCGUAGAGAUCACGAGGAAGACCAGUGGCGAAGACGGGUCUCUGGACAGUUCCUGACACUGAGACACGAAGGCCAGGGGAGCAAACGGG
rnacentral:rRNA from 1 species